AUUGAACGCUGGCGGCAGGCCUAACACAUGCAAGUCGAGCGAGCGGCGGACGGGUGAGUGAUGUCUGUGAAACUGCCUGAUGUAGGGGGAUAACUACUGGAAACGGUAUCUCAUACCGCAUACCCUCAGAUGUGCCCCGAUGGGAUUAGCUAGUAGGUGGGGUAACGGCUCACCUCGGCGACGAUCCCUAGCUGGUCUGUGAGGAUGACCAGCCAAACUGGAACUGAGACACGGUCCAGACUCCGACGGGAGGCAGCAGUGGGGAAUAUUGCACAAUGGGCGCAAGCCUGAUGCAGCCAUGCCGCGUGUGUGAAGAAGGCCUUCGGGUUGUAAAGUACUUUCAGCGGGGAGGCGUUACCCGCAGAAGAAGCACCGGCUAACUCCGUGCCAGCAGCCGCGGUAAUUC
rnacentral:rRNA from 1 species